rnacentral:rRNA from 1 species
ACGGGUGAGUAAUGUCUGGGAAACUGCCUGAUGGAGGGGGAUAACUACUGGAAACGGUAGCUAAUACCGCAUAACGUCGCAAGACCAAAGAGGGGGACCUUCGGGCCUCUUGCCAUCAGAUGUGCCCAGAUGGGAUUAGCUAGUAGGUGGGGUAACGGCUCACCUAGGCGACGAUCCCUAGCUGGUCUGAGAGGAUGACCAGCCACACUGGAACUGAGACACGGUCCAGACUCCUACGGGAGGCAGCAGUGGGGAAUAUUGCACAAUGGGCGCAAGCCUGAUGCAGCCAUGCCGCGUGUAUGAAGAAGGCCUUCGGGUUGUAAAGUACUUUCAGCGGGGAGGAAGGUGUUGAGGUUAAUAACCUCAGCAAUUGACGUUACCCGCAGAAGAAGCACCGGCUAACUCCGUGCCAGCAGCCGCGGUAAUACGGAGGGUGCAAGCGUUAAUCGGAAUUACUGGGCGUAAAGCGCACGCAGGCGGUCUGUCAAGUCGGAUGUGAAAUCCCCGGGCUCAACCUGGGAACUGCAUUCGAAACUGGCAGGCUAGAGUCUUGUAGAGGGGGGUAGAAUUCCAGGUGUAGCGGU